AAUAUCUAAUUUGACAGACCUGCAGCAAUUGCUUAUCUGCUGCCAAGGUUUCCACUACAGAUAUAAGUAAAAAUGCUCUCAUGCUUUCUGCCUGUCAGAUUGUAGCAGCCGAGAUUGAAUGGAGAGGAAAAUAG